rnacentral:rRNA from 1 species
AUUGAACGCUGGCGGCAUGCCUAACACAUGCAAGUCGAGCGAGCGUCGGACGGGUGAGUAAUUUAUGGGGGCUGCCCGCUAUACGGGGUUAACUGCUGGAAACGGUGGCUAAUAUCGCAUACUAUCGGAUGCCCCAUAUGCGAUUAGAUAUUAGUUGGGGUAAUGGCUCACCUAGGCGACGAUCCCUAGCUGGUCUGAGAGGUUGAUCAGCCACACUGGGACUGAGACACGGCCCAGACUCCUACGGAGGCAGCAGUGGGGAAUAUUGCACAAUGGGCGAAAGCCUGAUGCAGCCAGGCCGCGUGUAUGAAGAAGGCCCUAGGGUUGUAAAGUACUUUCAGUCGGGAGGCGUUACCGACAGAAGAAGCACCGGCUAACUCCGUGCCAGUAGCCGCGGUAAUUC